rnacentral:rRNA from 1 species
UACGUAGGGGGCAAGCGUUGUCCGGAAUCAUUGGGCGUAAAGAGCGUGUAGGCGGCUUCGUCAGUCCGUUGUGAAAGUCCAGGGCUCAACCCUGGAAUGCCGAUGGAUACUGCGGAGCUAGAGUACGGAAGAGGCGAGUGGAAUUCCUGGUGUAGCGGUGAAAUGCGCAGAUAUCAGGAGGAACACCUAUGGCGAAGGCAGCUCGCUGGGACGUGACUGACGCUGAGACGCGAAAGCGUGGGGAGCAAACAGG